rnacentral:rRNA from 1 species
UGGGCCUACGGGGGGCAGCAGUGGGGGAUAUUGCACAAUGGGGGAAACCCUGAUGCAGCGACGCCGCGUGGGUGAAGAAGCGCCUCGGCGCGUAAAGCCCUGUCAGCAGGGAAGAAAAUGACGGUACCUGAAGAAGAGGCCCCGGCUAACUACGGGCCAGCAGCCGCGGUAAUACGUAGGGGGCAAGCGUUAUACGGAUUUACUGGGGGUAAAGGGGGGGCAGACGGCGAUGCAAGCCAGGAGUGAAAGCCCGGGGCGCAA